GACGAACGCUGGCGGCGUGCCUAAUACAUGCAAGUAGAACGCUGAAGAGAGGAGCUUGCUCUUCUUGGAUGAGUUGCGAACGGGUGAGUAACGCGUAGGUAACCUGCCUUGUAGCGGGGGAUAACUAUUGGAAACGAUAGCUAAUACCGCAUAACAAUGGAUGACACAUGUCAUUUAUUUGAAAGGGGCAAUUGCUCCACUACAGGAUGGACCUGCGUUGUAUUAGCUAGUAGGUGAGGUAACGGCUCACCUAGGCGACGAUACAUAGCCGACCUGAGAGGGUGAUCGGCCACACUGGGACUGAGACACGGCCCAGACUCCUACGGGAGGCAGCAGUAGGGAAUCUUCGGCAAUGGGGGCAACCCUGACCGAGCAACGCCGCGUGAGUGAAGAAGGUUUUCGGAUCGUAAAGCUCUGUUGUAAGUCAAGAACGAGUGUGAGAGUGGAAAGUUCACACUGUGACGGUAGCUUACCAGAAAGGGGCGGCUAACUACGUG
rnacentral:rRNA from 1 species